AGACUUCCCUGGCAGUGAAGGUAUCAUUGUCACAUAGGUUUUAUCCUGGAUAUGCUGAAUGACCCCUGCAAAUGUGGGAAACUUGAUAGUAUAAUUUGUGAUAGUGGGGGCACUGCAUUCCCACUUUUCCUUA
ensembl:snRNA U1 U1 spliceosomal RNA